rnacentral:rRNA from 1 species
GAUGAACGCUGGCGGCGUGCCUAAUACAUGCAAGUCGAGCGAACAGACGAGGAGCUUGCUCCUCUGACGUUAGCGGCGGACGGGUGAGUAACACGUGGAUAACCUACCUAUAAGACUGGGAUAACUUCGGGAAACCGGAGCUAAUACCGGAUAAUAUAUUGAACCGCAUGGUUCAAUAGUGAAAGACGGUUUUGCUGUCACUUAUAGAUGGAUCCGCGCCGCAUUAGCUAGUUGGUAAGGUAACGGCUUACCAAGGCAACGAUGCGUAGCCGACCUGAGAGGGUGAUCGGCCACACUGGAACUGAGACACGGUCCAGACUCCUACGGGAGGCAGCAGUAGGGAAUCUUCCGUAAUGGGCGAAAGCCUGACGGAGCAACGCCGCGUGAGUGAUGAAGGUCUUCGGAUCGUAAAACUCUGUUAUUAGGGAAGAACAAAUGUGUAAGUAACUAUGCACGUCUUGGCGGUACCUAAUCAGAAAGCCACGGCUAACUACGUG